AAGUCGUAACAAGGUCUCCGUAGGUGAACCUGCGGAGGGAUCAUUAUUGAAUUUUCCUAAAGAAAAAUUUUGUGAUUUGCUUUCUCUUGAAAGAGAGAGAGGACAGUACAAGAUUUUUCCCAAACAAACGAUCACAACUACUAGCUGUGUGAAGCAAAAAGAAAAAGAAAAUUGAUUUGGAUGAGAAACAAACAAAAAAAAGUGUUUGCCUGAUAAUCAAGAUGAUUUGGAUUGCAGAAAGAAAUACAACUUUCAACAACGGAUCUCUUGGCUCUCA
rnacentral:misc_RNA from 1 species